CAUACUUCGUGGACUUUCUUUUAUAUGGUACAGUAGGCGGUUUCUCAGUGCACCUCUCUGUUUUCCUUCUUGCACCCCAAUAAAUUAUAACAUUCUCAUUUUAUCCUUCAUUAAAAAUAUAUUAAAACCCUAAUUUUUUUUUCAUCCUUUCUUCUCGUGCGUCAUGAACUGACCUACAUUGCUUUUUUUUUCUUCUGUGAUUUGAGUCUCCUUCGUCGCGCAGGCACGACUCCUCCAUUAUAGUUAUUGUAUCUACUCUCCUCUCCACUACAAACCACUAUUGACUACCCAGCC
rnacentral:lncRNA from 1 species